rnacentral:rRNA from 1 species
UAGGGAAUCUUCGGCAAUGGACGAAAGUCUGACCGAGCAACGCCGCGUGAGUGAAGAAGGUUUUCGGAUCGUAAAACUCUGUUGUUAGAGAAGAACAAGGACGUUAGUAACUGAACGUCCCCUGACGGUAUCUAACCAGAAAGCCACGGCUAACUACGUGCCAGCAGCCGCGGUAAUACGUAGGUGGCAAGCGUUGUCCGGAUUUAUUGGGCGUAAAGCGAGCGCAGGCGGUUUCUUAAGUCUGAUGUGAAAGCCCCCGGCUCAACCGGGGAGGGUCAUUGGAAACUGGGAGACUUGAGUGCAGAAGAGGAGAGUGAAAUUCCGUGUGUAGCGGUGAAAUGCGUAGAUAUAUGGAGGAACACCAGUGGCGAAGGCGGCUCUCUGGUCUGUAACUGACGCUGAGGCUCGAAAGCGUGGGGAGCAAACAGG